rnacentral:rRNA from 1 species
GGGGGGGGGGGGGGGGGGGGGGGGGGGGGGGGGGGGGGGGGGGGGGGGGGGGGGGGGGGGGGGGGGCGGGGGGCGAGGGGGGGGGGGGGGGGGGGUGCGUCGGGCUCUACUGUUUCGUGGGGGAUAACGGCGGGGAACUUACGCUAAUCCCGCAGACUGCCGACGGGUGGAAGCGGGGGAUCUGCGGACCUUGCGCGAUUGACUGCGCGGAUGUCGGCUUAGCUAGUUGGCGGGGUAAAGGCCCACCCAGCCGCCGCUCCGUAGCUGGUCUGAUAGGAUGAUCAGCCACACUGGAACUGAGACACGGUCCAGACUCCUACGGGAGGCAGCAGUGGGGAAUAUUGGACAAUGGGCGCAAGCCUGAUCCAGCCAUACCGCGUGGGUGAAGAAGGCCUUCGGGUUGUAAAGCCCGUUUGUGGGGAAAGAAAAGCAGCAGGUUAAUACCCCGCUGUUCUGACGGUACCCAAAGAAUAAGCACCGGCUAACUUCGUG